rnacentral:rRNA from 1 species
UACAGAGGUCUCAAGCGUUGUUCGGAUUCAUUGGGCGUAAAGGGCGCGUAGGCGGCGAGGUAAGUCGGGUGUGAAAUCUCAGAGCUCAACUCUGAAACUGCACUCGAUACUGCUUUGCUAGAGGACUGGAGAGGAGAUUGGAAUUCACGGUGUAGCGGUGAAAUGCGCAGAUAUCGGGAGGAACACCGGUGGCGAAGGCGGUUCUCUGGGCCUGACCUGACGCUGAGGAGCGAAAGCGUGGGGAGCGAACAGG